CAAGGAACUAGGGAGUAACGAACCUCGGAAACGGGACGGACGUAAUACCGGAUAGGUAACAAAGGGACGAUCCCUACUGUUAUUAAAGGUUAGUAAACACAAGCAGAUGGGCUUACGGUGCAUUAGCUAGUUGGUGAGGUAACGGCCCACCAAGGCGAUGAUGCAUAGCCGGCCUGAGAGGGUGAACGGCCACAUUGGGACUGAGACACGGCCCAGACUCCUACGGGAGGCAGCAGUAGGGAAUUUUCGGCAAUGGACGAAAGUCUGACCGAGCAACGCCGCCGUGAGUGAAGAAGGUUUUCGGAUUGUAAAGCUCUGUUGUAAGGGAAGAACAGCACGGAAAGAAUCCGUGAAUGACGGUACCUUACCAGAAAGCCACGGCUAACUACGUGCCAGCCGCGGC
rnacentral:rRNA from 1 species